ACCUGGAGUCAAAGGAAAUCAUUUUGGAACCUCAAGGUCUAAUGACUGCCCUAUUGGAUUUCAGACUUGCAUGUACAUACUUUCACUAUUAGGUAUUUACUAGAGAUAAAUGAAAACAUAUAUUCACAAAAGACUUGUACGAAAAUGUUCAUUGCAGUCUUAUUCAUAAUACACACAAAAAACCAACAUAUAUGUCUAUCAAUCGAGGAAUGGAUAAACAAAUUGUAAUAUAGUUAUUUCUUCUUUCAAUUCUGUCAGUUUUUGCUUCAUGUAUUUUAUCACAAAGGAAAACAGAAGAGAAGAAAGAAACAAAGGAUCUACAAAACAACCAGAAAAAAAUUAAUGAAAUAACAAUAGUAACUGCUUACCUACCAAUAAUCCCACUCUCCCAUGACCUGUGCC
rnacentral:lncRNA from 1 species